rnacentral:rRNA from 1 species
GGGGAAUAUUGCACAAUGGGCGAAAGCCUGAUGCAGCGACGCCGCGUGAGGGAUGACGGCCUUCGGGUUGUAAACCUCUUUCAGCAGGGAAGAAGCGAAAGUGACGGUACCUUAGGAAUAAGCAUCGGCUAACUCCGUGCCAGCAGCCGCGGUAAUACGGAGGAUGCAAGCGUUAUCCGGAUUUAUUGGGUUUAAAGGGAGCGUAGGCGGACUAUUAAGUCAGCUGUGAAAGUUUACGGCUCAACCGGUGAAAUUGCAGUUGAAACUGGUCGUCUUGAGUGCAGUAAAGGUGGGCGGAAUUCGUGGUGUAGCGGUGAAAUGCUUAGAUAUCACGAAGAACUCCAAUUGCGAAGGCAGCUCACUGGAGUGUAACUGACGCUGAUGCUCGAAAGUGUGGGUAUCAAACA